UACGUAGGAGGCAAGCGUUGUCCGGAAUUACUGGGCGUAAAGCGCGUGUAGGUGGUGGGACAAGUCUGCUGUGAAAGCGCCUGGCUUAACCGGGCGAGGUCGGCGGAAACUGUCUCACUUGAGGACGGUAGAGGGGGGGUGGAAUUCCCGGUGUAGUGGUGAAAUGCGUAGAGAUCGGGAGGAACACCUGUGGCGAAGGCGGCCCCCCUGGGCCGGCCCCUGACACUGAGACGCGGAAAGGCGUGGGGGAGCGAAACGGG
rnacentral:rRNA from 1 species